AGGCACAAAUUCAAAAUGCCCGCGAGUCCGCCUAAGACGGGUCACGUGAUAUGGUGGCGCUAGUGCAUGCGCCCUGGCCUGGUAUUCUAGGAGGCUCUGUUGAUGGGGAAGUGCUCCCUGCAAAACUAGAGGUAAAUUCACAGCGGGGUGUCCUGACGUCACGGCGUGACGUCAGUGUGGUUGUUGGCAUAGCCUACGAGAAUAACAGGCCUCGACACUACGUCAUCGAAAUGAAGUCAUGUGACAAAAGUAGUGCUACUGGUGGAGUGAGAUUUCAAAGUUACACGCACACGAAACUCGAUUAUUAAAAAUUUACGAUAGGCCCAUUUAUAAAUUUUGCAAUCAAUUUAAUCAUCAUUUUUAUAAUUAUUACUUUAUUACUAUUGUAAUUUUUAAAAUGUUACAUAGAAUAAUGUAUUUUUAUUACAGUAUUUAACAAUAACAUUGAUUCAUAAAAAACAAGUUACAAAUUUUAUAGCAAUUGGUAUUACAAUUAUUUGUCAUAUUAAUUACAAAAAUGGUAUGUUACAAUAUUUCAUUCUAGACAUUAUCACCGAAUUACAAGGAAGCACAAAUCGUUUCUACAUCAAAUGAUUGCAGAGCUUUCAUGUUGAAUUGGUGCCCAUUGCUGUUAGUAUGAAUGUUAUUUACAUGUAGAAUUGAUUAAUUCACAGGUUUUAUUUAUCGAGAGACACCUUUUAUAAAAUACAUUUUUGGACAAGGAUUUUGAGUGAUCUUGUUCUAUUUUGUUAGUUUAAUUUUUUACAUUAACUGUUUUAUGUUAAUAAUUUUCAAAUUAAAAUUAACUGUAAAAAUUAAUUAUCACUAUUUAAAAUGUUUCUGGACAUAUUUUUCCUACCA
rnacentral:lncRNA from 1 species